rnacentral:rRNA from 1 species
UGCGUAGGCGGUGCGGUAAGUCUUCUGUGAAACCUCCGGGCUUAACUCGGAGCCUGCAGAGGAAACUGCCGUGCUGGAGUAUGGGAGAGGUGAGUGGAAUUCCCGGUGUAGCGGUGAAAUGCAUAGAUAUCGGGAGGAACACCUGUGGCGAAAGCGGCUCACUGGACCAUUACUGAUGCUGAUGCACGAAAGCUAGGGGAGCAAACAGGAUUAGAUACCCUGGUAGUCCUAGCCCUAAACGAUGAUCGCUUGGUGUGACAGGUACCCAAUCCUGUCGUGCCGGAGCUAACGCGUUAAGCGAUCCGCCUGGGGAGUACGGUCGCAAGGCUGAA